UCCGUAAAGUUAAGUCAGGCGUUAGGAAAGGAAGGAGAAUAGGUGGGACGCGGCCACCGGCGGCACGGACCGUGGCCUCCUACCUCACGCGAGCGGCCCUCCUACCUGCCGCGCCUCUCCGCGCGAGCUCGGACUCGAGUACACGGGCGCGGAGCGCGGAGGAACGUGGCGAGGCCGCCGGAGUGAGCGGUGUGCGGCAGCGGCCGCUGGUGUUCGUCGCUGGCAGCGUGGAGAGACGCGCGGUGGGGCUUCGGGGUCCGUGCGGCGCGACGGCAGGGGGCGUUGGGGCCGGAGGAGGAACUGGAGCGGAGAGGCACGCUUGUUAGCUGCAGCGGCCGCCGCCGGAGCCGGUGGUACGAACUCGACUGCUCGCGGCUGGCGUGCCCCGAGUAGAGGCUCCACAAGCUGCACGAUCUGCUGUACUCGACGUCGCAGCAGCUACGGUCCCGCACCAGCGUAGCGCCGGCGGAGCGGACGGAGCAGAUGGACGCCCCGCUCCUACAACGGCGUCGGCAACACCUCGUGUAGCUCCGGGCGGAGCGGAGGGAGGAGGCGCCUCUGAGCCUUCGGUCGUCGCCGCGGCACCGACGGCAGGGGCGGCCGAGGUAGGGCGUGCGGUUGGCCGCGGAGGUGGUAGAGUACAUACGGUCGCCGCUGGACCUCGUGCGCAAGGGUUGAGGGUGCCACGCACGAGUACCUAGAGCUCGGGCUGUGGUACCCGAGGCACGUGUUCCCCUGGAUGCCGGUCUAGAAGGCGGGGCUGUUGAAACAGAAGCCGGUCAGGCCGCGGCCGUUGUUGACCCGGUUCCCGGUGAUGUGGCUCCCGCCCCUCGAGUAGCUGAGGCAGGAGCUGCAGCAGGCGCUCCUCCGGCUCUUAACGCGACGGAGGUUCCACACGGUGAGGGAGCCGCCCCCGUGGCCAAGGUUCUAGUCCCUCGUCAUGGGCCCGGCCUACUACGAGUGGAAGAGGCACAAGGGUAGAGGUUUCCAGAGACUGUGCCACCAGCUCGGGAUGUUGCAGUGAGAGAACCAAGUGACCGACCACCUCUUGCGGCUGCUCACGUACCACGACCUGUUGUUCCGCGAGAUGCUGUAAACGAAGGCGUGGGAGUUCGACUGGUGUGGAUCGAAUCCACCACCUUACUCCUGUGAGAGGUUCUCUUGAAGAAUUGUGGUCUGUAGACCCACUAUUUCUUCUGGGGAGAACCUUUUAACCUGGUCCUAUACACCCACACUAGGUCUUAAAAUACGGACAGUCCCGAUUGAACGUGGAGGUAGGGAUGCGGGGAAACUAAUGUAAACGUUAAGUUAUACGUUUAUUCGACCUACGAACCUACGGGCACCACUCACUUCAUACCGAAAUCAGAUAGCCAAUUCGACUGAUUGACAAAGUUUUAGAACUUGAUUACAAAAAACACUGUGGACUUGACUUCAACCAGUACGAUUGUUUUGGAAGUUGAAUAAUCUUUCUUUAACAUUGUUGUCAAAUCGAAUAACAAGACACUUCAUUGAUGACAACAUGGUCCUUUAAAACACGUGCACGUAAGUUAAUGUCCAAUAGGCUCGGACGAACGUGAACGUUGACUAGUUACGGCUAGGUCAACAAGAGUCCUAUCUAUUUUUAGUCAAGAACAAGUAAUAUCUCCCGUAGGUUGUAUUUAUUCUAAAAAUUUAGACUGUUUUGUAAAAAUAACAUGUUAAGUCAGACUUUCUAUUCUCGUUUGAAUAGACGGUGAUAUCUCCCUUAGUUUGCAUUUUAUCCACUGUACGUCUAUAACUGUAUGCUAAUGUAAAAAUACCGUAAUGAUUAGGUCAAUACCAAGGUAACAACAGCGUGUGGCUUGCAAGUUACUUAAAGAACUUCUUUUACAUACCUCAGAAAACAACACACGAAGUUGGUCCCUCCAUUGAUGUAAAGAAGGCAACGACUUUUUCGACUCCACUUAAGAUACUGUCACUCCCAACUACUAUCCUCGUGUUCAUUAAGACUACACAGAAUCUAUUCUACGAUAUUCCUAAUGUAUUGAAAGAAAUGGUUAGUGUCAUGGCUGCCACCGUCCGGUACGAAAGAUAGACGUCAAGAGGUUGAUUUUCAGAUUGACGUCCUCAUACAUCUUAGAAGAAAUGAAUUGAUCGAAUAUGAGUGCCUGUAUAGCACUUCGUGUUCGUCGGAACGUUGGUGUUUGGAACGUCUGAAGAGAAAAGUAUAGGUUUGAAACGUUUGUAAAGUAAGUACAAAAAUUUGAAUAAGAUGCAAAUAAAAUCACGUGGUUCUUUUUUAUUUAAACACUGGUAAACACG
rnacentral:rRNA from 1 species